UACGGAGGGUGCAAGCGUUGUUCGGAAGCACUGGGCGUAAGGCGCGUGUAGGCGGUCCGCUAAGUCUGAUGUGAAAGCCCGGGGCUCACCCCCGGAAGGGCAUUGGAAACUGGCGGACUCGAGUACCGGAGAGGAGGGUGGAAUUCCUGGUGUAGCGGUGAAAUGCGUAGAUAUCAGGAGGAACACCGCUGGCGAAGGCGGCCCUCUGGACGGUGACUGCCGCUGAGACGCGAAAGCGUGGGGAGCAAACAGG
rnacentral:rRNA from 1 species